AACGAACGCUGGCGGCAUGCCUAACACAUGCAAGUCGAACGAGACCUUCGGGUCUAGUGGCGCACGGGUGCGUAACGCGUGGGAACCUGCCCUUAGGUUCGGAAUAACUCCCCGAAAGGGGUGCUAAUACCGGAUAAUGUCUUCGGACCAAAGAUUUAUCGCCUUUGGAUGGGCCCGCGUUGGAUUAGCUAGUUGGUAGGGUAAAAGCCUACCAAGGCGACGAUCCAUAGCUGGUCUGAGAGGAUGAUCAGCCACACUGGGACUGAGACACGGCCCAGACUCUUCCGGGAGGAAGCGGGGGGGAAUUUUGGAAAUGGGGCGAAAUCCUAACCCGCAAAUGCCGGGGAGGUGAUGAAGGCCUUGGGGUUUUAAAGCCCUUUUCCCCGGGAUGAUAAUACCAGGACCGGGAGAAUAAGCCCCGGCUAACUCCGU
rnacentral:rRNA from 1 species